UAUGUUGUUCUCGGAAUGGUU
rnacentral:piRNA from 1 species